rnacentral:lncRNA from 1 species
GUUAAUCUUUUACUGAGAUUAACGAAAAAUACACGCAAAUCUAUUCUCUCCUUCUUAGUGAUAGUUAGAGCGGGUAAACGCCCCCUUCUUCCUUGGGCGAAAAACCUUAGCUCCAAUCUGGCAACACCACAACACUUCGAUCGUCCCAGACUAGGGGAAGUCGUGAGAUUGUUGACGACGGCGCUUCCGCAACAAGAACUUAAUACUUGACGUGUUCAGUUUCGGGUUUAACCGACCCCUACCUUACCAUGUAUUUUAAUUGUCAAUUUAUUAAGUGCCUUAAUUUGUGGGUGUUUAUUGGGUUCCAUAAUUUCCAUGUGUUUUUAAAUCAAUGCAUUGAGGUCUGUCAAUUUAAUCUACUUUAAAAAUGUUUAUUUUCAAUUCUUCUGUCAUUUUUAAAUUUUCAGAAUAAGAAAAUAGAUUGAACCAAAUUGUAUUCAUAGGAUCACAAAUGGAUGGUUAAGAUUUAAAGACCUCAUUAAUGUCAAGGGAAAUACAAUUUAAGUAUUAAAUAUGUAAUUAAGUUGGUUAUAAGAGUUUGUUAGUAGUUUGUCAAGGUAAAAUAGACUAUAAACAAACCUUAAUUUGUAUAAGUAGAGUGAAAUCAAUUGAAGAUUUUCAUAUUCAGUAUCAAAGCAAAAAUAUUAUAUAAACCCUAGUUAUUACAUGGCUUAUUAUUUUAUAAUCUAUUUUACCAUAACAAACUACUAACAAACUCCUAUAACCAACUUAAUUAAGUAACUAAUUACAUAUUUAGUAUUUAAAUUGUAUUUUCCUUGACAAUUGAAUCUUGUGGAAUGCUGAAUACUUUCUAAAAAUAUGAAAUUUUUAAAAACAUAAACAAAAGUAUAACUUAAGAAUCCACUGGAGAGAGAUCUGACUUGGUUAUCCCUGGUUGCAUAGCCAGUUGUUUUUAGGACAUACUGAUCCGGGUCCUGAAUUUGCAGGAGGACCACUUCCGCCUCUUUUUUCUCGUGUCUUUCUUCUCGGUCCAUAUACACUUUUGUCAUAACCCUUCUGUAUCAUUCCUUUACCUUUAUGAUCUAGUUUUUCAUUUCUGGACUUUGCAGUUGAAUUUUGAUUGGAGUAGCAGAGUUGGCCAAGCAUAUAAAGAGAAGAAGAUAAGAAACAACGACAACGAUUAUCUUCCAACAGUUUGAAGAACACCUCCUCCCCAUUAAAAAUGUGAUGAGUGAAAGAUGAAUGUAUGUAUUGUGAAUAGGUUUGAUCUAUUAAUUAUAGACAUCCCGAUUCUAUUUUUG